rnacentral:rRNA from 1 species
GACGAACGCUGGCGGCGUGCUUAACACAUGCAAGUCGAACGGAAAGGCCCUGCUUGCAGGGUACUCGAGUGGCGAACGGGUGAGUAACACGUGGGUGAUCUGCCCUGCACUUCGGGAUAAGCUUGGGAAACUGGGUCUAAUACCGGAUAGGAGCCAUCUUUAGUGUGGUGGUUGGAAAGUUUUUUCGGUGUAGGAUGAGCUCGCGGCCUAUCAGCUUGUUGGUGGGGUAAUGGCCUACCAAGGCGGCGACGGGUAGCCGGCCUGAGAGGGUGUACGGCCAUAGGGGGGGGGAGAGAGGCACCAGACCCCUCGGGGAGGCAGCGAGGGGGAAUAUGGCAAAGGGGGGGAGGGCUGGAGGCGGCGACGCCGGGGGGGGGAUGAGGGCCUUGGGUUUGAAAACUCUUGUGGCGGGGGAAAAGGUUUUGUUGGGAGGUUACCUAAAAAAGAGGCCCCGGCAAACUACGUG